ensembl:lncRNA TMEM9B-AS1 TMEM9B antisense RNA 1
ACCAGUGCGAAGGGCCGGGAGGCUGGGCAGUCCUGGUGCCCGCCUUGGCCUAGCCCCGGCCCCGGGACGGAAGGGGGCCUCUGGGGUGGCAGCCUGGGCCCAGUAGAGCUUUGCAUCUCUUGGAUAUCUUUCCCGGGCGCAGAAGCUGCGGGGCUUAGGGAGUCGCCAUUGCGCUGGAAAGUCCUCCCGCCCACGGAGACCCCAGCAAACUCCGAGUGUCACACAGUCGCCUCUGGCGACCCGUGCGGGCCGGAGCCGUUCGCGCACAGGCAGGGCGGGUGCUGAGCGUGGAAACGGGGCUGGAAUUGGCCGAGCCAUGCCUUUCCGGGAUGCCCACCGCCAGUCAAAGGGUUGGGGGUGGUCUCUGCACCUUAAGUACUAACCUGCCGCCCACGCGCCUCCUGACCACAGCACCCCGUCGGCUUUCUAAUUCUGUGAGCUGCCCUCGUGGGCGUGGCCUCCCUGUGGAGCUCCCCAUGUGCCUCCCCUUGGUCCAGCCUGCAGCUAGGAAGUGGGUCACAGCGACGGGGCUGGGCUGGGCCAGGCCAGGCUCCGGGAGAUGUGGAAUUGGCGAAACAACUGCCCCAGUAGUAUCCUCCGCCUAGGACUCCAAGAGGUGGCGAAUUGGGGCACUACGCCCGGGUAAGGCAGUGCCUGUUCAGGGCUGCCGACCUGUCUCCCCAGGGCUGUCAUUCUCAGCAAGUACUUUAGGAGUGCCUUAGAUCGGCACAUUCUCCCAUUGAAAUAUUUUUGUUAGUGGAGACAAGGGAGGUAAUGGCAAGGACACGGAUCAUCACAGCCCCUAGGGAUUUGUUGAAUGACCUUUGGCAAAUCACUUCCCUUCUCUGGGCCUGUAGUUCUUGGCUGAAUAUGAGGGAAUGGAUUUCAAAUUAUGCUCCAUGUAAUACCCGUGUUUUUACCUCUGUAAACAGAUUUUUUUGUUUUUUUUGAGACGGAGUCUCGUUCUGUCCCCCGGGCUGGAGUGCAGUGGCGCGAUCUCGGCUCACUGCAACCUCCGCCUCCCGGGUUGACGCCAUUCUCCUGCCUCAGCCUCCCUAGUAGGUGGGACUACAGGCGCCCGCCACCACGCCGCCCGGCUAAUUUUUUUUUUCUUUUUCUUUUUCUUUUUUUUUUUUUGUAUUUUUAGUACAGACAGGGUCUCACUGUGUUAGCCAGGAUGGUCUCGAUCUCCUGACCUUGUGAUCCGCCCGCCUCGGCCUCCCAAAUUGCUGGGAUUAUAGGCGUGAGCCACCGCGCCCGGCCCCAACAGAUUUUUAAAGAUGGUCUUUUCCCAAUUUGUGGAAAUGUUUUAACAGAAUGCUCUCAAUAUUUUUCGCCCAUGUGAUUCUUAGAUUCAUGUGAAUCUAACACAACGUAUCUGAUACUGUUCCCAACAGGAACCAGGGUGGCAGGGCUAGAUGUCCUCUCACCAGACUGCCCAGUGAAGGUGCUGUCACUUUGAUGAAUUAUCAAGGCUUUGUAGUGGGUCUUCUACUGGACAAAGGACAAACUGGAGACUCCCUGGAUCAAAUGUGUUGGUGAGGCACUGAAUCUGAUUGCUGAAAGGUGAUUCAGCUGCAAGUUAGGCAUCAGUUUAGGGUUUUCUAGGCUUGGCAUCUAAAGGGAGUGCCUGCUGUAGCUGAAACCUCAUAGGCCUUCUCUUCCUUCCGAAUUGUUUUCAAGGCCUUGGGGGUACAGAGACUUAGAGAAAAUACAUAGUUGUGCCUCAGACUGAUGGGCCUCAUCUGUUUAAUGGAGAAACACCAAGCACACUCAGUCUGGGCGGAAUUUUAGAGCUCCAUAGUAUAACCACUAUCUAGCUACAUGUGGCAAUUGAGCAUUUGAAAUGUGGCUAGACUGAAUUGAAAUGUGCUGUAUAAAAUAUACACUUAAUUUCAAAGACAAUAUUUUUAAAAUGUAAAAUAUUUCAGUAAUUUAAAAAUAUGGUUUAAAUAUUUUAGAUAUGUUGGGUUAAAUAAAAUAUAUUAGUAAAAUA